GUCUAUGGCCAUGCCACUCUGAACAAGCCCGAUCCCGUCUAAUCUCAGAAGCAAGGUCGGGCCUGAUUAGUGUUUGGGUUGGAGACCACCUAGGAAGACCAGGUGCUGUAGGUG
rnacentral:rRNA from 1 species